UAAAUAUUAAAACAAUGAUCAAUAAAUAAUAUAAUUAAUAAUUUGUUAUAGAAAUGAAAAUAUUUUCCUAAUUCAUCUAAGUAUAUGAAUCGUAUCAGUAUAAACUAAUUUUUUUAAAAUUAAAAUUAUUAUUUAAUUAUAAAGUAAUAUAGUAAUUAUUUAAAGAAACACAUCAAUAUAAUGUUUAUGUAUGAAAAACAAACAUGUAUACUAAAUUUAUUUUAGCUGCUAAGAAAAAAAACAGUAACAGCUAAAAACUAGAAUACAAAUAAAAAAAAUUAAAAAGAAAAAAAAGGAAUCGAGUACCAGGUCGAGGUUCAAAGGAAAGGGAUGAGAGUGAGAAUUUUACGGAUUUUUUAUUGAUGUUGAUUCGAAUUUUAUGAAAAAGGAAAAGAAACCAACAAAUCAAUCAAACUUCAAAAUGACUUUCUUUUUGUUCUGGUUAUGUUGGUUUCAUAUCGUUUUUGUUGAUGAUCUUGACUUGACGGCGAUGUUGGUCUAAAGGAGGCGGCUGCCGCAUACAAAUGCAAAAUUGGUUAAAAUAGCCCAACAGUUAUUUGGAGUUUGAACCGAGCCCAAUAAAUACAAGUCGAUAUUAAAAAGUAAUUAAAAAAGAAAUGAAUUCUAAGUUAAAUCAUUUUAAGUAAUAGUACACAAAAUGAAAUGGAGAAGGAGAAGGAGACGGUACCUGUAGCUGAAUAUUGCUUCUUUUGGGUGAUCGAUCGAUUUACAGUACUAUAGUUUGAUAGUUGAAGAAGGAAAAAGAAAUGUAAAUGUGAAAGAGUGUGCUGAUUAGCUGUCAUUCUUUCCCAUGCCGAAUGCUGUUAAUAGUUUCUUUCCUGAUGGUUGAUUUGUUUUCAUUUUUUUCCCGUAUUUGAUGAGCUUAAUAGGCAAUUAUUGAUGUUGCUUCUUAUGUCCCACCUCCUCUUUCAGAAGAGCAAAAGAAGAAAAUAGCCAAAUUGAGAGCAGAAACGGCUUAAAAGUAAGAAGGUUCUUUCAGACAAGAAGGCUUUUCGACGAAGUUAAGGUCAGUUGUCUAACUGUGGUGUUUUUGCAGGCAGUGCUUGCUCUUGAGCGCAAGUAUUGGCAGGGUUCUUAGAAGCACAACGUCUCCAAUUGAACUCUCUUGAACUCUCUGGACUUGAUUAUUCUUUUGGGAUUAUGUUACAGUGAGUUUUGCUAGAAGUGGUGGAUCCGGAGGUCAAAAUGUGAAUAAAGUGAACACCAAGGUGGAUAUGCGCUUCAAUGUUAAAGAUGCAUAUUGGCUGACUGACAGGAUUAGAGACAGGAUUAUGCAAAUGGAAAAGAACCGGAUCAACAAGGAUGGUGAGAUCGUGAUCUCUUCAACAAAGACUAGAACACAAAAGUUACUUUCUGCCCCUUUCCUUAUUUUAAUACCCACUAAUGCUUAUUUGAUGUUUAAAGUAGGUUGUUUAAUCCUUUUGCUUUUUUUCUUCGGGGUAACAUUGAAGAUGCUUUAGCAAAACUCCAGGUAACUAAGACUUUGAUUACUUACGACUUUUUAAUGCUAAAGUCUACUUGCUUCCUAUUGUCUGGUAUAAGUGGUGAAAAGGAGGCUUAAGUAUUAGCCAUGCUGUGUCUGAAAUGUAAAUGUGAAAGAGUGUGCCGAUUAGCUAAUAAUUUAGCCGUCAUUCUUUCCCAUGCCGGAUGUUGUUAAUAGUUCCUUUCCUGAUGGUUGAUUUGUUUUCAUUUUUCCCCCCCUACUUGAUGAGUUUAAUAGGCAAUUAUUGAUGUUGCUUCUUAUGUCCCACCUCCUCCUUCAGAAGAGCAGAAGAAGAAAAUAGCCAAAUUGAGAGCAGAAACGGCUUAAAAGUAAGAAGGUUCUUUCAGAUAAGAAGGCUUUUCGAAGAAGUAGGAACAGUUGGGACUG